CUCUCGCCACCAUGUGAGGACAGCAAGAAGGUAGCCACCUGCAAGCCAGGAAGAGGGUCCUCAUUAGAACUCAAUCUCAUUAGAACUCAACCACAUGGGCACCCUAACCUUGGACAUCUGCCUCCAGAAUGGAUCUGAGUCCCAAGUCAACAUUUACAAAGUCCCUACUGCCUGAAGGAGGGCAUGAGAAGGGAAGCCCACCUACUCUCCAUGCCCCAGUAGGUGUCAGUAUAAGACAAUGUUCCCAGAACUGACCAAGUCUUGAAUCAGAAACCAAAAAUAGAGAGGAUCAAGCUAUAAAACAGAGAAGACGUAAUAAAGACGGGGCGCGGAAAUACCACGUGAGCCCAUAAAUGCCAUUGUUUAAAGAGAGCGCUGACCUCAACAAAUUUCCUCCCGGGUGAGAUGACGGAGCUGGACGAGGGGCCUCGGACGACCCCGCCCGGCUCUCGCAUUCCUCGUCAAUUCAGCAGGAAUUCCUGGAGCAUCUCCCAGUGGGACCCAGCACUGUUGUUCAAGUUAGUUGCUGUUAACCAGUACAGUAACCAUGAACACCUCCAGGGAACAGAGCAAUGUUCGGCCUGGCGUACCCGCUUUGAAAAAACAGACACUAUCCUUGUUUCCCAGAGAUUUGCAGCAUGAAAAUAGAAAUCCUGUAAUCCACCGUCAUAAGGAUGAUAUAUAUCAUCAAACAGGAUUACAAAAGUGAAUCAAGGAGAAAGAGGGGAAUCAAAGGGCGUAUGAGUGGUCUGUGGAAAGUGUGGAGACAGUCAGGGUGAGCUUCCUGGAGGAGCUGGCCUUUGAGCUGUGAUGGAAGAGAAGAGAGCCACAAAAUCAGGGCUCCUCCCUAGCUCCCCAUUUCUUCUCCACAUUGUUUUCCUCCUAUAAAUACAAAUGCCCUAAACUCUGAUAAAGCGUAAGUAAUAAAGAGAAAGAAAAUAAA
rnacentral:lncRNA from 1 species